UUGCUCUCGAGUGUAUUUAUACUAUAAAUACUAAAAAAUUUAUAGGUACUUUAGUUACACUUUUUGUCGAAUUAAUCAUAUUGAUCUGGAUAUACCGUAUGAAAAUUGAGGAAUAUAAUAAUAUUGAAGUACUAGACCCAGGGACAAUUAAUUUUGACAGUAAUAUAACAACAACGAAACCAUGUGAUAUUCAGUGGUUUCAGCCACUUUUGAACAUCUUCGAACCAGCAGAUGCGGAUAACAGCAAAAAGAAUAAAAAAAAGAAGAGCAAAGCGCGUAGGAGUGCUAAUGCAAAAUAUUAGGGCUAAGAGAAAAUUAAAAAAAAAGAAAGAUUAUUCCAUAGCCUGUAUUGUACGUUAAAAAAAAUCAAUGUACGAUUGGAUUUAUUCUAGUCAUUCAAAUGGUUUGAACGAUUGAUAAGACGAACUGUCCUGGAUUGGCUGGAAUCAAGAUAUUGGAAUCCAAAGCGCUUUAGUAGGUCUUCAAAAUAAUAUUUGUACUUAAUUUGUUAAACUGUAAAUAUAGAAGUGUAUCAAACAUAAAA